AGAUAUUUAUAUUAUUAAUAGGAAAGUCAUAAAUAUAUAAAUUAUAUUAUAUAAUUAAUAUAAUAAUAAAAUAAAUUAUAUAUUUUAUUUAUAAUAUUAUUUCUUUAUAAGAUAAAUAUUAUCUAAUUAAUAAUUAGAUUGAAUAAUAUUUAUAAAGAAAUAUAUAUAAAAAAUCAUUAUAUAAAUUUAAUUAUAAUUUAAAUAAAUUUUAUAUAAAUUAAUAUAAUAUUAAUAAAGUAAUUAGUAUAAAUAAAUAAUAUGAAAAUAAAACUUAAUAAAUAUAUAAAUAUAGUCCAUAUAUAUAUAUUAAUAAAAAGUAAUAUAUAUAUAUAUAUUGGAAUAGUUAUAUUAUUAUACAGAAAUAUGCUUAAUUAUAAUAUAAUAUCCA
rnacentral:RNase_MRP_RNA from 1 species